GUGAAAUUGUUGAAAGGGAAACGAUUGAAGCUAGUCGUACCUGUGGUAAUCAGCCUUUUGGGUGUGAUUAUGUGGAGUGUGAAGAGUUAAACGCCUUUAUGUCUGCAUAUUCGUGCACUUUGGGUGUAUUUACCCGUGUGGUAAGUUAACAUCAAUUUUGGUCGUCAUAGAAUGGCUGGAGGAAUGUAGCUUCGAUCUCGUAUUGAAGUGUUAUAGCCUUCGGUUGAUGUGGUGAUCGGGAUUGAGGAUUGCAACGGAUACCUUUCGGGGCUACCUGUCUGAUCUCUGAUCGUUGCUUUGGUGCUGAAAGCGUGCUUAUAGUUAUCAAAGUCGAUGGUUAAUAGGUUAGAAUGGGUUAAAUUCGUUAAGGAUGUUGACGUAAUGGCUUUAAACGAC
rnacentral:rRNA from 1 species